AUACGGAGGGGGCUAGCGUUGUUCGGAAUUACUGGGCGUAAAGCGUACGUAGGCGGACUGAUCAGUUGGGGGUGAAAUCCCAGGGCUUAACCCUGGAACUGCCUUCAAUACUGUCAGUCUUGAGAUUGGAGGAGGUGAGUGGAAUUCCUAGUGUAGAGGUGAAAUUCAUAGAUAUUAGGAGGAACACCAGUGGCGAAGGCGGCUCACUGGUCCAAUACUGACGCUGAGGUACGAAAGCGUGGGGAGCAAACAGGAUUAGAUACCCUAGUAGUCC
rnacentral:rRNA from 1 species